AUACGUAGGGAGCGAGCGUUGUCCGGAAUUACUGGGCGUAAAGGGCGCGUAGGCGGCGCUUCAAGUCGUCUGUCAAAUGGGAGGGCUUAACCCUUUUUAGCAGACGAAACUGGAGAGCUUGAGAAGCAGAGAGGCAAACAGAAUUCCUGGUGUAGCGGUGAAAUGCGUAGAUAUCAGGAAGAAUACCAGUGGCGAAGGCGGUUUGCUGGCUGCAUACUGACGCUGAAGCGCGAAAGCCAGGGGAGCAAACGGGAUUAGAUACCCCGGUAGUCCUGGCAGUAAACGAUGUAUGCUGGGUGUGAGACUAGCGAUAGUUUCGUGCCGAAGUUAACGCGAUAAGCAUACCGCCUGGGGAGUACGGUCGCAAGAUUGAAACUCAAAUGAAUUGACGGGG
rnacentral:rRNA from 1 species